GAUUGAACGCUGGCGGCAGGCCUAACACAUGCAAGUCGAGCGGUAGCACAGAGAGCUUGCUCUCGGGUGACGAGCGGCGGACGGGUGAGUAAUGUCUGGGAAACUGCCUGAUGGAGGGGGAUAACUACUGGAAACGGUAGCUAAUACCGCAUAAUGUCGCAAGACCAAAGUGGGGGACCUUCGGGCCUCAUGCCAUCAGAUGUGCCCAGAUGGGAUUAGCUAGUAGGUGGGGUAACGGCUCACCUAGGCGACGAUCCCUAGCUGGUCUGAGAGGAUGACCAGCCACACUGGAACUGAGACACGGUCCAGACUCCUACGGGAGGCAGCAGUGGGGAAUAUUGCACAAUGGGCGCAAGCCUGAUGCAGCCAUGCCGCGUGUGUGAAGAAGGCCUUCGGGUUGUAAAGCACUUUCAGCGGGGAGGAAGGCGGUAAGGUUAAUAACCUCAUCGAUUGACGUUACCCGCAGAAGAAGCACCGGCUAACUCCGUGCCAGCAGCCGCGGUAAUACGGAGGGUGCAAGCGUUAAUCGGAAUUACUGGGCGUAAAGCGCACGCAGGCGGUCUGUCAAGUCGGAUGUGAAAUCCCCGGGCUCAACCUGGGAACUGCAUUCGAAACUGGCAGGCUAGAGUCUUGUAGAGGGGGGUAGAAUUCCAGGUGUAGCGGUGAAAUGCGUAGAGAUCUGGAGGAAUACCGGUGGCGAAGGCGGCCCCCUGGACAAAGACUGACGCUCAGGUGCGAAAGCGUGGGGAGCAAACAGGAUUAGAUACCCUGGUAGUCCACGCCGUAAACGAUGUCGAUUUGGAGGUUGUGCCCUUGAGGCGUGGCUUCCGGAGCUAACGCGUUAAAUCGACCGCCUGGGGAGUACGGCCGCAAGGUUAAAACUCAAAUGAAUUGACGGGGGCCCGCACAAGCGGUGGAGCAUGUGGUUUAAUUCGAUGCAACGCGAAGAACCUUACCUGGUCUUGACAUCCACAGAACUUUCCAGAGAUGGAUUGGUGCCUUCGGGAACUGUGAGACAGGUGCUGCAUGGCUGUCGUCAGCUCGUGUUGUGAAAUGUUGGGUUAAGUCCCGCAACGAGCGCAACCCUUAUCCUUUGUUGCCAGCGGUCCGGCCGGGAACUCAAAGGAGACUGCCAGUGAUAAACUGGAGGAAGGUGGGGAUGACGUCAAGUCAUCAUGGCCCUUACGACCAGGGCUACACACGUGCUACAAUGGCAUAUACAAAGAGAAGCGACCUCGCGAGAGCAAGCGGACCUCAUAAAGUAUGUCGUAGUCCGGAUUGGAGUCUGCAACUCGACUCCAUGAAGUCGGAAUCGCUAGUAAUCGUAGAUCAGAAUGCUACGGUGAAUACGUUCCCGGGCCUUGUACACACCGCCCGUCACACCAUGGGAGUGGGUUGCAAAAGAAGUAGGUAGCUUAACCUUCGGGAGGGCGCUUACCACUUUGUGAUUCAUGACUGGGGUGAAGUCGUAACAAGGUAACCGUAGGGGAACCUGCGGCUGGAUCACCUC
rnacentral:rRNA from 1 species